rnacentral:rRNA from 1 species
UACAGAGGUCUCAAGCGUUGUUCGGAUUCAUUGGGCGUAAAGGGUGCGUAGGCGGCGCGGUAAGUCGGGUGUGAAAUCUCGGGGCUUAACUCCGAAACUGCAUUCGAUACUACCGUGCUUGAGGACUGGAGAGGAGACUGGAAUUUACGGUGUAGCGGUGAAAUGCGUAGAUAUCGUAAGGAAGACCAGUGGCGAAGGCGGGUCUCUGGACAGUUCCUGACGCUGAGGCACGAAAGUCAGGGGAGCAAACGGG